rnacentral:rRNA from 1 species
CCUACGGGUGGCAGCAGUGAGGAAUAUUGGUCAAUGGGCGCGAGCCUGAACCAGCCAAGUAGCGUGAAGGAUGACUGCCCUACGGGUUGUAAACUUCGUUUAUAAAGGAAUAAAGUGAGGCACGUGUGCCUUUUUGUAUGUACUUUAUGAAUAAGGAUAGGCGAACUCCGUGCCAGCAGCCGCGGUAAUACGGAGGAUCCGAGCGUUCUCCGGAUUUAGUGGGUUUAAAGGGAGCGUAGAUGGGUUGUUAAGUCAGUUGUGAAAGUUUGCGGCUCAACCGUAAAAUUGCAAUUGAUACUGGCAGUCUUGCGUACAGUUGAGGUAGGCGGAAUUCGUGGUGUAGCGGUGCACUUCUUCGCUAUC